GAUGAACGCUAGCGGCAGGCUUAACACAUGCAAGUCGAGGGGCAGCAUGACGGAACCUUCGGGUUUUGUUGAUGGCGACCGGCGCAAGGGUGCGUAACGCGUGAGCAACUUGCCCGUUUCUGGGGAAUAACCGGUGGAAACGCCGACUAAUACCCCAUAGUAUCAUUAUUAGGCAUCUUUUAAUGAUUAAAGGAUUUCGGAAACGGAUAGGCUCGCGUGACAUUAGCUAGAUGGCGGGGUAACGGCCCACCAUGGCAACGAUGUCUAGGGGUUCUGAGAGGAAGGUCCCCCACACUGGAACUGAGACACGGUCCAG
rnacentral:rRNA from 1 species